rnacentral:rRNA from 1 species
AUUGAACGCUGGCAGCAGGCCUAACACAUGCAAGUCGAACGAGUGGCGGACGGGUGAUUAAUGUCUUGGAAACUGCCCGAGGGAGGGGGAUCACUACUGGAACCGGUAUCUACUACCCCAUACCAUAGGAAGUACCCAGAUGGGAUUAGCUCGUAGGUGGGGUAAAGGCUCACCAAGGAGAAGAUCACUCGCUGGUCUGAGAGGAUGACAAGCACCAAUGGAACGUAGAACCGGUCCAGACUCCGACGGAAGGCAGCAGGGGGGAAUAUUGCACAUGGGGCGCAAGCCUGAUGCAGCCAUGCCGCGUGUGUGAAGAAGGCCUUCGGGUUGUAAAGCACUUUCAGCGGGGAGGCGUUACCCGCAGAAGAAGCACCGGCUAACUCCGUGCCAGCAGCCGCGGUAAUUC